rnacentral:lncRNA from 1 species
CCAAAAAUAAUUCUUGCUCUCUCAUCUAUUCAACAUAAACAAACCAGCGGAGAAAAAUGGCAAAAAUUUGAGGAUUUAUGUUGUGCUUGACAAACAAUCAUUUUUGGAUUUUUUCAACUGUUAUUUUACCAAAUAGGAUUACAAAAAAGGCAUAUUUCCUCCUAUCUAGACCGUUCCGGAGGCGAGCGGAAAGGGACAAAUCCGAGGCAAAAAUUUGUGUAAUGAAGUUUUCCUUGAUCAUCCUGGAACAUCCGGCUUGGUGUUCCUGCCCCCCAGAGGAUGUGCUGACGGGAAGUGGCGAUGUUUUGGCGGCGAAAAUGACGGUGUACGGAUGGAAGGAUUUAAAGUUUUGGGCAUCAAGACCAGCAGUAAUGGAGUGUUCGCUAGGUUGCAGGUCCAGGAAAAGUAUUGGGCGUAAUAGGUUAUGUAUAAAGUGCAUUAAUUAUCAAAUAAUAAAUUGUUUCCAGUUGUA